GACGAACGCUGGCGGCGUGCUUAACACAUGCAAGUCGAACGGAAAGGCCCUGCUUUUGUGGGGUGCUCGAGUGGCGAUCGGGUGAGUAACACGUGAGUAACCUGCCCUUGAUUUUCGGAUAACUUCAGGAAACUGGGGCUAAUACCGGAUAGGAUCUCCUGUUCCGUUGUGGGGGUUGGAAAGUUUCGGCGGGUGGGGAUGGAGUCGCGGCUUUUCAGUUUGUUGGUGGGGGAGUGGCUUACCAAGGCUUUGACGGGUAGCCGGCCUGAGAGGGUGGCCGGCCACAUUGGGACUGAGAGACGGCCCAGUGUCGUACGUGAGGCAGCGGGGGAGAGUAUUGCACAAUGGUAGGGAGCCUGUGGCAAAAACGCCGCGGGCGGGAUGACGGCCUUUGGGGUAUAAACCGCUUUCGCCUGUGACGAAGCGGGAGUGACGGUAAUGGAUGAAGAAGCACCGGCUAACUACGUG
rnacentral:rRNA from 1 species